CCAGCCCCGCACUCCCCUGCCCGCCAGCGCCCCGCCGUCGGCGCUCAGCCGGGCGGGACGCUGGGGAUUUGUGACGUGCGGCCGUUUGUUCCCCAGCCGCUCGGCGCGGUGGCCGCUGGCGCUGCCGUGAGGGUGCAUAGUCAACCUGUGGAAUCUUUGCCAGAAGAUGUUGUGAAGGCCAAGACUAUAACAGGGCUGGAGGCUGCAUGCUGUUUGAUCUUCAUUCUCCCAGGGAUGGGAGGGUCUGGGAGACCCAGCCAGCUGUCGCAAAAGCACAAGUAGCAUGCAAUGGGUGCUGUUGCGGAGGCGUAGAGGACUUCUGGGGGUACAUUUGCCCUGUCCAACAAGCAUUGAGUCCCGGUUGCAUGGGCCACCCAACUAUGGCAUUGUCCUGUGCGUUCCUGGGUUGUAGGACAUGGUACUGUGGAGUGGUCUCAGGACAUGGUGUGAGUGGAGCAGGAGCUUGCACUCUUGCAGCCAUUAGCACAAGCAGCUGCUCAAACAGGCUUUUCUGCUGUAUUCAAUCUUCCUCCCUCAAGCAACAUUCCUGCUCCAGAAGCUGCGCUGACAGUCUAUCAGUGUGCUCUACAGGCUGUCUGUGCCUUUCCACUCCUAUGAAUCCUUUUCCCUUUAGUAUUGUGUCUGCUUGUUGACUCCAUUCAGGAUGUCCACUAUGAGUUAAUUACAGAAAUGCUUCCUCUUUGACCAUUCCUUGACCGUUCAAAAUCCGAGGCUCCUGCUGGACCGUGGCUGGGCGGCAGAGGUGGAAGUGCCUGAAAGCAGACAUCAAACAGUACAUUGUCUCAAAAAGAAAAGGAGUACUUGUGGCACCUUAGAGACUAACCAAUUUAUUUGAGCAUGAGCUUUCGUGAGCUACAGCUCACUUCAUCGGUGCCACAAGUACUCCUUUUCUUUUUGCGAAUACAGACUAACACGGCUGUUAUUCUGAAACCUACAUUGUCUCAGUACUUCAAAAAAAAGUUCAGUGCAUCCUCAGAAAAAAGUGCCUGUGGAAUCUCAAGGCCAAAAAAAUGAUACUUCGUAAAACUCAGCUUCACUAUGUUCUCAGAUGAAUACUUCUGUUCCUAGAAGCUCCAUGGCCAUAAUUGAGUUAAGCAGAGUGAAAAGAGUGCACACAUAAUGGUAAGAUGACAUUUACAAAUGCUAUAUGUUUAAAAAUUGCAGACUGUUGUUGCCAGGGGCAGUGGGGCUAUGCCAUGGUUUACUACCUAAAGUUUCUCAGUCCUUUCAGGCAUUCCACAGUCUGGGGGACAUGACAAUCCUGGAGUUUCCUGAAUGCCAAAGAGAUUUUAUGCCAUGCUACCGGUGGCAAGCCAGCUGUCUAUGCUACAGAGGUUUCAAGCUUAUGGUGACUGAGCAGCACAUCUAUGAGUGGAGUGGACCACAGUCCUGAUUAGGAGAGCCCAGAAAAUAUACCCUUUCCUGAAAUGAGACUACCCAUUGGGAAUUCCUACUCUGCGAAAAGUUUGCAGCUAUCAGCACCCAGGAUUGGGUCAAAAUUAAAGGGGAAAUCAACAGGAUGCUGUGUUAGCAUCCACACGGUUUACUAUCUCCCUAUAGCUUACAACGCAGCCUGCUCUGACUAAAUAUACUAUGGACUACAUGCAAACACACCUGACAAUAUGGACUCUCAAAGAACUACAUGGACAGUCACCCCCCUUCGCCCAAUAUAUUUGUAUACUGCACACAAUUUCCCCCCCCCACACACACACCCUGGGGUAUUUCAGACAUUGAUUUACUCACCCACUCACUACAUUUUCCCCAACCUUCAUGUACAGUUUACUGUUUACAGGUAGCUUGUUAUGCUAUGGCAUACUAAAGGGGAAGGCAGUAUUCUUUCUUUUAACACCCCAGCACAUCUUUAAGCAUUUGCGAGUAUCUAACAAAACUUUAAAGUUAAAUGCUUGUUUAACAGUUGUUUGUUUCUUGGUCUCCAUUUUGAAUGCCAUGUGGUGGUGGUGUGGAAAGUGAUGCCAAGAUGCUGGGGUACAUUCCACCAUUAGUAGAUACACAUGACUACCUAUGUCCUGUAAUAAAAAAUGCAAUGGGUCAUAAACUGGAAAUCCCUCCCAUUUGACUAUUAUCAUUAACAAUAAACAAGGAGCCAAACACUUACCAGCCUUCGGGGCUUUUUCUGCCUUUUCUGUUUCUGCUGCUGGUUUUGCAGCAGGCUGUUCUUCCAAGGGGGUCAUCAAACAGCUCCUCCGAGUAUGGGCCCAGGACAUGCUGCAUCUGCUCCAGUGGCACAGCUUCCUCGGGGAUUGGUUGGAACCCCAGAGUCACUUUGCUAGCUUGAUCUAUGAGGCACCUGUUGGCUCCUCUCUGGUCUGGUACUAGAUUUGGAGGUCAGAAGGUCACGACUCUGGCUGACCAGGCUAUCAUAAACCACUGGGGGCUCAGUGCUUGAUGCAGUUCCCAGCACCCAGGCAAAGUCCUCAAAAGAGACAAGAUGACAGGGAGUUCCCAGAGGUGUUCUCACCCCUGGCUUUCUGGUAGUCUCUCCUGAGCUGCUUACUCUACUCCCAGACUGGUGACCAGUGCUGUUGAAUUCCCAGUGCAGCCAGGUUGUCUGCUAUUUCUUGGUAUGCAUGGUCAUUUCUGGUCACUUCUCUUACUGAAGUUGAAUUUUUUGCUUGCCUCGUACCAGUAAUUUACUGGAACCUGACUGUGGUCUCAUGACCAGGCAGUGCACUUGGUAGCAGCAAAGAUGCUUCGUUCUGCUUGCAGCUCAGUGGUCUGUAAGGAGAGUUUGAGAGUUGCAGGCUCUGAUGCCAGAACCUCCUUAUUCACAAAUCUCCAAGAACAAAAGUGACUUUAUGACCAUUCCCCAAAUUUGUGUCUAAAGUGGUUGCUUGGCUUCAUUUGAAUACUGCGGAUGUGCAAAGCAUUGACUAAGUGAUUGCCAUAUUGGAUUUACCAUGGAUUUCACUCUAGGUAUGGUAAACCCUUCAUAGAUUCAGAGAUACUAAGGUCAGAAGGGACCAUUAUGAUCAUCUAGUCUGACCUCCUGCACAACGCAGGCCACAGAAUUUCACCCACCCACUCCUGCGAAAA